rnacentral:rRNA from 1 species
GCCUACGGGGGGCAGCAGUAGGGAAUAUUGCUCAAUGGGGGAAACCCUGAAGCAGCAACGCCGCGUGGAGGAUGAAGGUUUUCGGAUUGUAAACUCCUUUUGUUAGAGAAGAUAAAGACGGUAUCUAACGAAUAAGCACCGGCUAACUCCGUGCCAGCAGCCGCGGUAAUACGGAGGGUGCAAGCGUUACUCGGAAUCACUGGGCGUAAAGAGCGCGUAGGCGGGAUAGCAAGUCAGAUGUGAAAUCCUAUGGCUUAACCAUAGAACUGCAUUUGAAACUGUUAUUCUAGAGUAUGGGAGAGGUA